GACGAACGCUGGCGGCGUGCUUAACACAUGCAAGUCGAACGAAGUAGCGAACGGGUGAGUAACGCGUAAUCAACCUGCACUUCAGAGGGGGACAACAGUUGGAAACGACUGCUAAUACCGCAUACUGAAGGAGGGGAUUGCGUCUGAUUAGCUAGUUGGAGGGGUAACGCCCCACCAAGGCGAUGAUCAGUAGCAGUUCUGUGAGGAGGAACGGCCACAUUGGGACUGAGACACGGCCCAGACUCCUACGGGAUGCAGCAGUGGGGCAUCUUCCGCAUUUGACGAAAGUCUUACGGAGCAACGCCGCGUGAGUGAGUACGGCCUUCGGGUUGUAAAGCUCUGUUAAUCGGGACGCGGUACCGGAAUAGAAAGCCACGGCUAACUACGUGCCAGCAGCCGCGGUAAUUC
rnacentral:rRNA from 1 species